UUACGGCCAUAUCAGGUUGAAACAUUGACUCCCGUAAGAUCAGCGAAUUUAAGCAACAUCGAGCCUGGCCAGUACCUAGAUGGGUGACCGCUUGUGAAUACUAGGUUCUGUAAG